UAUUUUCUGUUAAAUAUUGUAAUAAUCUUAGCUACCAAACUAAUAAAUAAUAUUACAAACAAAUAAUGAUUUGAUUCUGGUCAAUAAAUUAAUUCUAGCAAACCACACACAUGCAAGAACUCUCGAACCCGUAACAUUUUUAUUCUCUCUAAAAGAACCCUCCCUAAAGAUUAAAAUUUUAUGAUCUUAUCUAAUGAUACGCCUGCAGUGAUGAAAUCUAAUCAAUAUCAGCCAUUAUGAAUUGGAAAUAGCCCCAAAAACAGACAAACCUUGUGCCAGCAGUCGCGGUUACACAAGAUGUUUAAAUUAAUUAAUUCAUGCCUGCAAUAUAUAAAAAAAUAGAAAUAUCUUAACCCCCUCAAAAGUAUAAUUUAAACAGGGGUAACAAACUAAACAUUCCUAAUAUCUUAUAUUGCGAAAGCCUAGACUAAAACGGGGAUUAGAUACCCCCUUAUCCUAGCCGCAAAUCAAAGGCCGAGCACUACGAACACAUGUUUAAAACUCAAAGAAUUUGGCGGUGUCUUAACCUCCCAGGGGAACCUGUCCAUUAAAUCGAUAAUCCACGAAAAAUCAAACCUCGCUUUGCCAUCAGCCUGUAUACUUCCGUCUUCGGUCACCCUGAAAAGGAGUGACCAAUAAAAUAACUCAUUUUCACGUCAGGUCAAAGUACAGCCAAUAGCAAGGAUGAAGAUGGGUUACAACCUUAACCAAAGAAAAUGACCUUCGGGCCAACGAACACACUAUGAAAAACUGUGAUUGAAGGAGGACUUGGCAGUAAAGCUGAAUAAAUUUUCGGCUUGAAUAAGGAAAUCUAAGACAUGCACAAAUCGCCCGUCACUCUCCCCCAAAGGGGAGAAAAGUCGUAACAUAGUAGGUAUAACGGAAGUUGUACCUAACCAAACC
rnacentral:rRNA from 1 species